rnacentral:rRNA from 1 species
GACGAACGCUGGCGGCGUGCUUAACACAUGCAAGUCGAGCGGAAAGGCCCUGCUUUUGUGGGGUGCUCGAGUGGCGAACGGGGGAGUAACACGUGUGUAACCUCCCCUUGACUUUGGGGUAACUUCAGGAAACUGGGGCUAAUACCGCAUAGGAUCUCUUGCUGCACGGGGGGGGAUGGAGAGUUUCGGCGGUUGUGGCUCGACUCGCUGGUUAUGAGCUUGUUGGUGGGGUAGUGGCUUACGAAGGCUGUGACGGAUAGGCGGCCUGGGAGGGUGACCGGCCUCAUUGGGACUGCGAUAGGGACCAGACUCGUACGGUAGGCAGCAGGCGGGAAUAUUGCGGAGUGGGCGCAAGCCUGAUGCAGCAACCCCGCGUGCGUGAUGACGGCCUUCGGGUUGUAAACCGAUUUCGCAGGUGACGAAGAGUGCGUGACGGUAAUGAGUAAAGAAGCACCGGCUAACUACGUG